UUAUGGCCGAUUGCCUUAAGUUGAUCAUGGCUCGGACGAACGCUGGCGGCGUGCUUAACACAUGCAAGUGGAGCGACGAACCAGGGCUUGCCCUGGGGCAGAGCCGCGAACGGGUGAGUAACACGUGGGUAACCCACCCCGAUGAUUGGGACAACCCGAGGAAACUCGGGCUAAUACCAAAUGUGCUCUUCAGCCAUGAGGCAGUUGAGUAAAGAUAGCUUCGGCCUUCGCAUCGGGACGGGCCCGCGGCCCAUUAGCUUGUUGGUGAGGUAACGGCUCACCAAGGCGACGAUGGGUAGCUGGUCUGAGAGGACGAUCAGCCACACUGGGACUGAGACACGGCCCAGACUCCUACGGGAGGCAGCAGUGGGGAAUCUUGCGCAAUGCGCGAAAGCGUGACGCAGCAACGCCGCGUGGGGGAAGAAGGCCUUCGGGUUGUAAACCCCUUUCAGUUGGGACGAAGCUCCGUCGGUGAAUAGCCGGCUGGAGUGACGGUACCUUCACAAGAAGCCCCGGCUAACUACGUGCCAGCAGCCGCGGUAAUACGUAGGGGGCUAGCGUUGUCCGGAAUCAUUGGGCGUAAAGAGCGUGUAGGCGGCCCGGUAAGUCCGCUGUGAAAGUCGGGGGCUCAACCCUCGAAUGCCGGUGGAUACUGUCGGGCUAGAGUGCGGAAGAGGCGAGUGGAAUUCCUGGUGUAGCGGUGAAAUGCGCAGAUAUCAGGAGGAACACCGAUUGCGAAGGCAGCUCGCUGGGACGUAACUGACGCUGAGACGCGAAAGCGUGGGGAA
rnacentral:rRNA from 1 species